rnacentral:lncRNA from 1 species
GAAAACAUUAGCUUAGAGCUUUUGGUUUGCAAACACUAAGAAAGCACUAUAGUUUCAAUCGGAGAUUUCCUAGCUGUCAACGAUUGAAUCGUGCACUUGGAAUAGUUCCUGCAUCGAAUCGACAUACACGUGGAUACCUUAGUAGUGGAUUCACGGCACGAAUCGAGACGCACGUUUACCACAUAACAAGUAAGUUAUUCUUAUUGUUGUGUGUCUAUCUCUACACAUGAUGCAUUUGUAAAUCUAGAUCUAAUCCUUGAGUGUUUAUUCCGCUGCGUAUCAUUAGAUGAUGUCAAGGAUAACCAACAGUGGUAUCAGAGCCCGGGGCUCGAUUUACAAUUGCUAUUGUGUUCUAAUUGUUUAUGGGUUAAGAAUAUGUGAUUUUAGAAAUCUGAAACUGAAAAUUUGAGAUUAAAAUGAAUCGAAACCAUUUUCUGGAUUUGGGUGUAAAAUUGCUGGGCAAUAUUCGGAUCUGAACCGACCGCCUGCUUGGACGAGGCGGCGACGGUGGCUCGGGGCUCGCCGGUGUGCAGCGCCCGACCACCGGCCGCUGGUUGCGUCAUGGCUUCGAGCCGACGCUAACCCGCAAGUACAAGCUUGGCCGCCGGCGCGGGAGGCGACGGCGUUGGUGGAUGAAAGCAGCUGAAUCGCGGUGGCGGUGCAAGAGGCGUCGCACCGGCGGUGGUCUCGCGCGGCGGACCUGCGCGCUCGCGGCGAGAGCGCCGCUGCUUCCUCCUCAGAAAACGCCCCCCCUCGACGCGGGCUUGAACUCCAGCGUGCUGACGACCAGCGGGCUUCGUCAGGCGAGGCCGCGCGACGUCGUCGGCGUUGUAGAUCUCGCGGCGGCGGCGGGCUGGCGGGCAAAAGGCGGCAGCGGGGUCUCCGGGCGAGGCGACGGGAAUGAGAAGGGAGCGGCAGCUGCUGCUGCAAAUCCCUUUCUCCAACCCUUGCUACUGAACAUGGUUUUGGGCUGCUAAGUGUUUGGGCCCAAUCUGGGCCUAUUUAUUUGAUUAAAUGGGCUGCUGCUGUUGACUUGUUUUCUAUGGGCUGCGAAAUUAUUUAAUGAAAGGGGCUGGGCCUUUAUUUCAUUUAAAUGGCCCAGUUGGGCUGUAAC